rnacentral:rRNA from 1 species
ACGCUCGACACCUACGGGGGGCAGCAGUGGGGAAUAUUGGGCAAUGGAGGCAACUCUGACCCAGCAACGCCACGUGAGUGAUGAAGGUCUUCGGAUUGUAAAACUCUUUAAGUAGGGACGAAGAAAGUGACGGUACCUACAGAAUAAGCCUCGGCUAACUACGUGCCAGCAGCCGCGGUAAUCUGAGCGGGCUGGCAAGGC